AUGCAAGAUGAAGCUGAAAGUGCCAUGCAGGAUGAUGCUUCUCUACAGUGGAUGAUGAAGGCAUGCUGGUUACAAACCCAGGAGAGGAACAAAGAACAGAUAUUGACAGAAUCAUAUCUAGAGAUGCGGGCCUACUACACUUUAUACGAGCAAGUGUGCUAAUAUACAAUACUUGGGUUAUCAUCACAGCCCUUUCUUCUGAAAACUAGCCUACAACUUCAUUGAUGAAUGCA